UAAUACGGGGGGAGCAAGCGUUGUUCGGAUUUACUGGGCGUAAAGGGCGCGUAGGCGGCCACCGCAAGUCAGUUGUGAAAUCUCUGGGCUUAACCCAGAAAGGUCAACUGAUACUGCGGGGCUAGAGUGCAGAAGGGGCAACUGGAAUUCUCGGUGUAGCGGUGAAAUGCGUAGAUAUCGAGAGGAACACCUGCGGCGAAGGCGGGUUGCUGGGCUGACACUGACGCUGAGGCGCGAAAGCUAGGGGAGCGAACGGGAUUAGAUACCCCGGUAGUCCUAGCCUUAAACGAUGAAUGCUUGGUGUCUGGGGUUUUAUAGUCCCCGGGUGCCGUCGCUAACGCUUUAAGCAUUCCGCCUGGGGAGUACGGUCGCAAGACUG
rnacentral:rRNA from 1 species